GCUGACCAAGGAAAAGUAAAAUUAGAGAUCUAUUUAGACAAGGGCCAACAAUUUAAAUAAUAAUCUAUGAUUCACAUGCAGCAGUGAAUUUGGUCUUUGACUGCCAUAUUUUGUAUUGUUCAGUUGGUGUAAUAGUAAUUAUAAGAUGGUUUUGGUCACCACUGGAAACGUCUUUUAAUAAUUUAAUGCUGCUUAUUGGGAACAAGAUAAAAAUAUUGGGCCAUGGGGCAGAUGAAUGAGAUUUUCACUGGCUUCAUUAAGACUAUCAAAUGCUUAAUUUGACUAUUAAAUGCUUCUCUUAAUUGAGAAAUGCUAAAGGAAUUCAGAAAACCUUUACCAAAUCACCUUUCUUCUUGAAGAUGCCUAAACUGGAAAGUUAGAAGUUUGGAAACCUUCUGAAACUUCUCAAGAAAUGAUAAUUUGUAAGUGUAAAUGAGAAUUUGAGGAAUAACAGUUAGAAGAAAUAGAAAUGAAAAGCUAUUUUUAGAAGAUGAUGGUUGGACUUCAUCUUAAAAGGAUUUUUCCAAUCUAGACAAUUCUAUGAUUCUCUAAAAUAAGUCUUGCUGAAAUCUGUAGGAUGUAUUUCCAUAAAGUGCCAGGAGGUUAUACACACAAUAGUUGGCUCUAUAUCCAGUGCUAUAAGAUUAUAUUAUAUACAGGUCAAAAACAUUGUUUCUUCUUCUGCUACUUAUUCAGUAUAUAUGUUCUACUUUACUGACCCUUAACUAUUUCUAAGUGGUUUUCAAUAAAUUAUAUUGCAGGAGACAGCUUCAAAUAGUCUUUGACUCCUAACUGAAAAAUCUGUCUUUAGAAUAGAAGAAAUAAUGUCCUAGAAGCAUGAGGUAUCUUUAUUAUUUCACUAGAUUUGUAUAUUUGGUUCACAGUUCCUCCUUCCUUUUUUUCAGUUCUUUUGUUGAGUUUUUUUUUUUCUUGUGCUUCCCAAUAUUGUCUUGUAAGCUCCCAAUUAUAUGUAACACUUUGGAAUAUGCAUCAUUUAAGGACAGUAGUGAUGUUGUCUCUGUCCAGAAAAAUCAAUUUUACAUGUCCUUAAUUCUCAUAUUAACUAAGUAUUUGCUUAUUCUGUGUAUGCCUGUCUAGAACAGAGAAGACUUAAGUAAAUUCAGUAGUCCUGAGCACUUUGAUGGAAUCUUGAUUUUAGCAUACCUCUACAUUAUAAUUGUAUGUAUUUAUCUUUCUAAGACACACCAGAAAUAACUCUACUACUUUCCUAAUACUGGUAAUUAUUCUGUGCUUACUUGCUUUUAAUUUCAACAUUUGUUUGCUCUCUCUGGGAAUGAUCACAAACACCAUAAUUUUACAUGAUUUCUAUAAUUAAGAGUCCCUCCCUUCUAUAUUGUAAUUUUAAAUAUUAAUGGUAAACUGUUUAAAAAUCAACUUCUGGUUGUUUCUAGGAAGAUCCCUCAGUGACAUAUGGAGUUGUUACGAUUGGUUUGGAUACAGAAAAAGAGUUUAAUUAAAAUAUUCUUUCUUAAUCUGAGAGAUGAACCUCAGAAUAGUCUUUGAGGACUUCCCAGAAAUUAAAUUUUCAUAGUCAGCAUUCAACUUGAAUUUCCCCUUACAGGAGACAUAAAAGGAAGCAGUGAACUUAAAAUGCAUAUAAAGUGACACAGAGCUUGAUAACUUAGCAGGAUAAUUCUGUUCUAAUUUAGAAGAAAACAACAGUCCAAUUUCUUCAUCUUCUUGAAGCAGCAAUAAAAUUCUAAAUCUAUUAGCACCCUCAAACACUCAGAAACUUUAAUGAAAGUCAUACUAUUGAAUAAGUCAACCAAACAGCACCAAUUGUGAAAGCAAGCCUUAACAAUGUGAAAGAAAUGGUAUAACCAAACCUGAUCACGAGUCAUGCAUUCAUUAGCUCAUUCAUCCUAAAAAAAAGCUGGGUUUAAAAUCAAAAAUAAGGAUAAUGCAAACCAUCAGUGUGGUUUGUUUUGUGGAAGUCUAGUUAUCCCUGCUGCUCCAUUUCCACGGAGGGCCCAGUUUACACUCACUGAAAUUGUGGCUGGAAUGAGUUUCCAUAUAAAAAUCUAUCAAGACAUAUACACAUGUAUAUAUGUGUGUGUGUAUACAUUCAUCUAUCUAUAGGGAUGUAAAUAUUUUUAUCUUGGUCAGUCACGUGUGCAGUUCAGCAAGGCUGCCCACAUGCUGAAGUUCUGGGCGUUCCUUUGCCAGACAGGGAACUAAAGAUUGAAAGGAUAUGUUAAAAAUUGAAUGGCCUAUGUGAUUUUUGGUUUAUGCCAGACUGGAUCUGAAAAAGCAUCUGUUUUACAUAAAAUAUUAAAAGGCUAAAUAGCAGCAGUGGCCAUGUGUCUGAGAAGCUUGUUUUAUUUCAGAUAGCCAGGAGCGAUAUCUUUCCUCCCACUUCUACCCAUUAUUUCAUUUGCAAAACUGGUUCUGAAAAUAAUUAGUGUCAAGGUCCAAAGUGACAGAAUUUUAUAUCACUGUUGUGUGUCUCCUCAUUUUUAUUAUUACCUUAACAUGAAUUUUGUAUAUGUAUAUUUUUAGUCUAUUACAUAUCAAACAUGAAAAACAAAAAAUGUUACAAUAUUCCAUUUAAAUGCCAAUGUAUUUUAAUUAUUCAUUAUCAGAUUUUAAAAGUAGACAGAUCAUACAUGAUUUGCUGCUGCAGUCUUGCUGCUGCUGUAUUAGUCUGAUGAAGAGAAGAUGCAGCACUUUUUUUUUAAGUAAUUAUUUUCCUAAUGGAUUUAUUUGUCCUGAAUAAGACAAUUCUUCCUCUGUGUCAAACAUUUUCAGAAUUAUAACUCUUAUCUUAAUUUGAGGGGAAAAAAAAAUUUACAUACCAGAUGAAAACUCCUUAACUUUCCUUAAUAAGUAAGAUUUAUAAGUAGCCUGAUGAAAAAAUCUGUUGGGGAUGUAUGCUCCAAAGAUAGAAGCCUUUUCUUCAUGAAAAGUGCAGGACAAAUGGAUGGGUUUGUUCAGCUAUAAUUAUAUAAUCUAAAGGUUUGUCUGAAAAAGAGUAAUUGACUUCAUAUCUUCAGUGGAUUUAUCUUAACUUUAAAGCUUCCUUUGCAGACACAGCCCAAGAGUAGAAAUGUGUAUGCAAGAAGUAACUGUACCUGUGAUAAUGUAUGUAGGAUGCAGCAAAGUCUUGUUUUAUUUUUGUGCUGCUGCAGUCCGGCAUAAUGAGGAAACUCAGAAAUAUUUCAUGAUAUGCUGUGAUGUAAGAACUAUUUUUAUAUCCUGAAUGGAUUUUAAUGUCUUUGGAAGAAAAGUGCUCUCUCUCUCUCUCUCUCUCUCAUGUACACACAAAUUCUGCACGUUAUCAGAAUAAGAUAGGAAAACAUAGUCAGAUCCUUCUAAAUAUUUAAUGAGGACAUGUUACUAUCAACUCAAAAAAGCAAAAGAGGCUACCUAGGACCAUUUUAUCAACCUUCUCUAUCCUGAACAGUAUUUCAACUCGAGUGAACUUGUUCUCCAAUUCUUUUUAGGUAGCCUUUCUUGUUUUAAAGUGGGCUGAGCCUGAUUUUGUUAAUGUUGGCAUUAAACACACGGCUGGGGGUUUUGUGGGAUUUUUUUAUGGUUUUGUUUUGGGUUUGGGUUUUUGUUUUGGUUUGUUUUUUUUUUAAUCUUGAAAGGCAAGUUUCACUCUGACAAUAAAUUCCAGUUUGGUGUUUAAGUAAGGGUAAAUUCUACCACCAUUCAAAAUAGAGCUUUUUGGGACUUUUUUUGGUUGGUUGGUUGGUUGGUUGUUGUUGUUUUGGUUGUUUGGGUUUGGGUUUAUUGGGUUUUUUUGUUUGGUCUUUUUUGAUUGUUGGGGUUGGGUUUUGUUUUGUUUUGUUUUGUUUUUCAUUGGGUAAUGACGCUUCAGUAUUUUCUGAAAAUAGUGCUUCUUUGUAGCCUGGAUCACUAUCUGUUUAUUUUUAUUUUCACAGAGUUUCCUUCUUUUCUUAUGCAUUUGAAAGAAAAUAAAAAGCUCAGAUACUAUCAUAGCUGUUAUGGGUCUCCAAGAAUAUAUAUAUUUCAGUCUCUGUAUGGUGAUAUCUAAGAGGUAUUGGCUGGGAACCUAUAUGGCUGUGUCCUCAUCAGUAUGCUCCAUGCUGUGAAUAUUAACUUUUUUUUCCUUUUGGGGGGCAUUUUUUUGUUUGUUUCCCCCCCUUUUUUUCACUUCCUGAGACUUAAGUUGAUGAAGCCCUGUAAAUCCCACUUUGUGUUUUAAGGCACUAAGCCAGACAAAUAAUUUUAACAAGAUGAACCAAGCCUGUCACAAAUAAAGAAGGAAAUAGAAAAUAGAAAAAAACAAAAAACAACAAAACCUUUAGAAGUUCUGCACUUCCUCUCCUGACCCUGGCAUCAGCAGUGGAAGUCCUGUUUGAGCACCAUCAAGCACUCUCUAAGUCUGUGUUCUGAAGAGCAGAGUGAAGCACAAAUUCUAUGAAAAAAGAAAGCCUGCGUAACUGACUGAAGAUCCAUCUUGGAAAGAAGCGAAUGUUUCUGGAUGUUUAAGAUGACAAAUCGGUGCUCUUCAUAAAAGAAGUAUCUGUCUCAUGAAAGGCCUUUCUGUAUGGUAACCAUGAAACUUCCUGGGUUUGUCUCCUUUGAAGCCUCUAGGAAGUGUUAUUAUUACCAUGGAAGAAUGCUCUCCAAAUGGAAAACAGAAGGGUAUUGCUGGGUUUUCACUGCAGCACGAACUGCUGCAAGUGGCAGUUUCUUUGGUGAAUGACUGAUGCAGCUCCAGCACAUUUGUACAAUGACCUUAUCGCAUGUAAUGGUUCCCAUUUUCUUUGGGUUAUUAUGGAUGUCUAUUCAUCAAAAGGAGGCUGUUCUGCAAAUAUGCCAAAAAGCUGCAUCACCAGAACUUCAGUGAAGUCUUGAGCUGUUCACUGUUUGCAGGACCAGAGUCUGCCUUCCCAGAACUUCUCUUCUCUAGAGAAGGAAGACGGCAUUUUCAGGUGACCCUAACCAUAUGCUCAACAUACUGUUUGAGAGGUACCUAUCAUCUGUGGGGAGUCCAAUCUGGUGGAAUCCUGUCCUGAAGAAUGAACUAACACAAGCACGCUCCCACCCUCCCUCUUCUUUUUAUCUGUCUCUGCAUGGGAAGUCUCCUAAAUGGUCCACAUUUCUCAUCUGUGAAACUCACUUUCUGCUUGGCUACCACCUACCAUGGUCUACCACCUGGUGUUGCUUCUGAUGGAGACGCUAAAAUUAAAUUACUGCUGCUUUUUUGUGAGAGAUCUUUACAACUUAAGUGCUUAAAACACCCACAGAUAAUCAGUAGACGAAUAAGAGACAAUUAUUGCUUCAUUGAGAAACAUGAAGAAGUACUUUUAUCAUCUCCCACAUGGUAGAGAGUACAGCAAGGUUCAUCUUCCCAUGUACUAAUCCAUAGAUAACCUCAGUGCUCAGAAGAAUUUGUGCCUUGACCUUGCGAGCCUUGACUUUCAUCAUGUUAUCUUAAAGCUCCUUGAUGUGAGAAUCAAGAUACCAGGAAAAAAGAAUCCAAAUUUGACUUUCUCCUAUAAACUUCAACGCAGAAAGUAGCAAAUGGCUUGGGGAAGUCUAGUCCAAUUCACAUGAGGCUGGAAAGGUGCUGUCUCUGGCUUAGAGUUGUCAGCUUCAGGCGAGCUCAGCCACUGACACCUUGAGCCUUGAUCCUUGGUGAAGCCUAGCACCCAUAAACCCCACUUUGCCAGCUAUGCUUGUGGUAGCCUCAGAGGUACAGGCAGUCAGAGCUUAGAAAUAUAUUUCAAUCAUU